AACGAACGCUGGCGGCAGGCUUAACACAUGCAAGUCGAACGAGCUGGCGGCUUCUGUCCCCGGUGCUAGUGGCGCACGGGUGAGUAACACGUGGGAAUAUGCCCUUUAGUACUGAAUAACCACUGGAAACUUUUGCUACUACCGUAUACGCCCUUCGGGGGCAAGAUUUAUCGCUAUAGGAUUAGGCCGCGUCUGAUUAGGUAGUUGGUGCGGUACUGGCUCACCAAGCGGACGAUCAGUACCUGGGCUGUGAGGAUGACCAGCCACACUGGGGCUGCGACACGGCCUAGACUCCUACGGGAGGCAGCAGUGGGGAAUAUUGGACAAGGGGGGCAACCGUGAUAAGGCCAUGCCGGGGGAGUGAGGAAGGCGGUCGGGUUGUAAAGCUCUUUGGACGGGGACGAUGAUGACGGUACUCGUAGAAGAAGCCCCGGCAAACUUCGUG
rnacentral:rRNA from 1 species